rnacentral:rRNA from 1 species
GUGCCAGCAGCCGCGGUAAUACGUAGGUGGCAAGCGUUGUCCGGAAUUAUUGGGCGUAAAGCGCGCGCAGGCGGUUCCUUAAGUCUGAUGUGAAAGCCCCCGGCUCAACCGGGGAGGGUCAUUGGAAACUGGGGAACUUGAGUACUGAAGAGGAAAGCGGAAUUCCACGUGUAGCGGUGAAAUGCGUAGAGAUGUGGAGGAACACCAGUGGCGAAGGCGGCUUUCUGGUCAGUAACUGACGCUGAGGCGCGAAAGCGUGGGGAGCAAACAGGAUUAGAUACCCUGGUAGUCC